GGUUCGGUAGCGCGUGGUGCGCAUCUGCACUUGGUUAUCAAUGUUAUCGAGUUCAGUCCUUUAUGCAGACCCCGCCCGUUCGACUCGGGCCCGAGCCA